rnacentral:rRNA from 1 species
UACGAAGGUGGCAAGCGUUGUUCGGAUUUACUGGGCGUACAGGGAGCGUAGGCGGUUGGAUAAGCCCUCCGUGAAAUCUCCAGGCUUAACCUGGAAAGUGCAGAGGGGACUGUUCAGCUAGAGGAUGGGAGAGGAGCGCGGAAUUCCCGGUGUAGCAGUGAAAUGCGUAGAGAUGUGGAGGAAUACCGAUGGCGAAGGCAGCCCCCUGGGAUAACACUGACGCUCAUGCACGAAAGCGUGGGGAGCAACAGG